rnacentral:rRNA from 2 species
UGAUGGAGCAACGCCGCGUGAGUGAAGAAGGCUUUCGGGUCGUAAAACUCUGUUGUUGGAGAAGAAUGGUCGGCAGAGUAACUGUUGUCGGCGUGACGGUAUCCAACCAGAAAGCCACGGCUAACUACGUGCCAGGAGCCGCGGUAAUACGUAGGUGGCAAGCGUUAUCCGGAUUUAUUGGGCGUAAAGCGAGCGCAGGCGGUUUUUUAAGUCUGAUGUGAAAGCCCUCGGCUUAACCGAGGAAGUGCAUCGGAAACUGGGAAACUUGAGUGCAGAAGGAGGACAGUGGAACUCCAUGUGUAGCGGUGAAAUGCGUAGGAUAUAUGGAAGAACACCAGUGGCGAAGGCGGCUGUCUGGUCUGUAACUGACGCUGAGGCUCGAAAGCAUGGGUAGCGAACAGGAUUAGAUACCCUGGUAGUCCAUGCCGUAAACGAUGAAUGCUAGGUGUUGGAGGGUUUCCGCCCUUCAGUGCCGCAGCUAACGCAUUAAGCAUUCCGCCUGGGGAUUACGACCGCAAGGUUGAAACUCAAAGGAAUUGACGGGGGCCCGCACAAGCGGUGGAGCAUGUGGUUUAAUUCGAAGCAACGCGAAGAACCUUACCAGGUCUUGACAUCUUUUGAUCACCUGAG